AGCGAACGCUGGCGGCAGGCCUAACACAUGCAAGUCGAACGAAGUCUUCGGACUUAGUGGCGGACGGGUGAGUAACACGUGGGAACGUACCUUUUGGUUCGGAACAACUCAGGGAAACUUGAGCUAAUACCGGAUGAGCCCUUAGGGGGAAAGAUUUAUCGCCGAAAGAGCGGCCCGCGUUAGAUUAGCUAGUUGGUGAGGUAAAGGCUCACCAAGGCUACGAUCUAUAGCUGGUCUGAGAGGAUGAUCAGCCUCACUGGGACUGAGACACGGCCCAGACUCCUACGGGAGGCAGCAGUAGGGAAUAUUGGACAAUGGGGGCAACCCUGAUCCAGCCAUGCCGCGUGAAUGAUGAAGGCCUUCGGGUUGUAAAGUUCUUUUGGUGGGGACGAUGAUGACGGUACCCACAGAAUAAGCUCCGGCUAACUUCGUGCCAGCCGCCGCAGUAA
rnacentral:rRNA from 1 species